UAGACCAUAUUUACCUCAAGCACCCAAAAACAUUGAUCAUCACGACUUUAAUAGGGCAGAGGUCUGGGCUUUCAAUGGAAGUCCAGUCAUUAUACUAUAAGAGCCACGACAUGCUCCAAAACAUACUGGAAUCUGGUGUUUGAUUUACCAGUGGGUAUUUUACAUAAGAACAGUGGAUUUGUUUUUUGAUGGUGAUGCUACUGGAAAGAGAAACCAUGGUCACACGAUCUUUGAAGGACAUAUUGAGCUACGCAGCAAACUAGUGAACCACACGCAGACGUUCUUUGUAUCUGAAACUGGCAGAAUGCGAUGGGAUAGCUGCAUGGAAACCAGCUGCAAUUAUCUAUAUUUGACAAUUCACACUUUUCUAAAAAAAAAAACACUUCAUUGUACAUAUUGUGAAAUCUACCUCUCUUGUCCCAAUAGUAUCCUAUUGUCAGCUGCUGCUGAAGGGCUCAUCCUUUUACUGACCCUCUCUGUAUUCACUGUGCUCAGUUCACACAAUGAAAAGGCAGUUUUGGAGAAUUUGGUAUCUGCUCGAUAUCUGCUUCUUCUUCAAAGUUAGGCCCACAACAACUAAAAUGACUUCUCUGAAGACAAAGUCCGAAGAAGGGUCUCUAC